CACGUAGGGGGCAAGCGUUGUCCGGAUUUAUUGGGCGUAAAGAGCUCGUAGGCGGCUCAGUAAGUCGGGUGUGAAACCUCCAGGCUCAACCCUGGAGACGCCACCUGAUACUGCUGUGGCUAGAGUCCGGUAGGGGAGCGUGGAAUUCCUGGGUGUAGCGGUGAAAUGCGCAGAUAUCAGGAGGAACACCGGUGGCGAAGGCGGGUUCUCU
rnacentral:rRNA from 1 species